CCGGACCGGCGCACGGGUGAGUAACACGUAUGCAACCUGCCCCUAUCAGAGGGGGAUAACCCGGCGAAAGUCGGACUAAUACCGCAUGAAGCAGGGGCCCCGCAUGGGGAUAUUUGCUAAAGAUUCAUCGCUGAUAGAUAGGCAUGCGUUCCAUUAGGCAGUUGGCGGGGUAACGGCCCACCAAACCGACGAUGGAUAGGGGUUCUGAGAGGAAGGUCCCCCACAUUGGUACUGAGACACGGACCAAACUCCUACGGAAGGCAGCAG
rnacentral:rRNA from 1 species